CAGCCGCCGCGGUAAUACGAAGGUCCCGAGCGUUGUUCGGAAUCACUGGGCGUAAAGGGAGCGUAGGCGGCGUGGUAAGUCAGAUGUGAAAUCCCGGGGCUCAACCCCGGAACUGCAUCCGAUACUGCCAUGCUAGAGGAUUGGAGAGGUAGCUGGAAUUCUUGGUGUAGCAGUGAAAUGCGUGGAGAUCAAGAGGAACACUCGUGGCGAAAGCGAGCUACUGGACAAUAACUGACGCUGAGGCUCGAAGGCCAGGGUAGCGAAAGGGAUUAGAUACCCCAGUAGUCCCUGUCUCUUAUAC
rnacentral:rRNA from 1 species